CACAGGUGCUGCAUGGCUGUCGUCAGCUCGUGUCGUGAGAUGUUGGGUUAAGUCCCGCAACGAGCGCAACCCUUUUCGUUUGUUGCCACCUUUAAUUGGGCCCUUUAAGGGGACUGCCGGGUGCAAACCGGAGGAAGGGGGGGAUGACGUCAAGUCCUCAUGGCCCUUAUAGGUGGGGCUUCACACGUCAUACAAUGGCCGGUACAAAGGGUUGCCAACCCCCGAGGGGGAGCUAAUCCCA
rnacentral:rRNA from 1 species